GCAAGAAGAGCAGGUUCUGUUCUUACUGCCAGCACCUGCACGCAACCUUGAGCAAGCCAUCAGUUUUCACUGCUCAUUUUCUCUGUAUGUGAAAUGAAAAUAAUUGUGCUCAUAGGACUGUUCCUAAGCUAACUUAAUCUCCAUCUGAGAAGCGCUUUGGGAUCUUCAGAAACAGAAGUAAUUUCGGCACGACAUUCAGUCUCUGACUCACUUUUAUCCUCAGUAAAGGUGACACAUGGCAGAAGAACAAGGCACGGAGUUGCCCUGGCUUCGGCUGUUUCCUGUUUAGUCAGAGCAAGCUGCUGGAGCCGUGUUUAUCCCCAGCAUUGCACCAGCAAUCCUCCCUGAAGAUAUCUGUCAGGCUGGGAAAUGGGUCCUCCCUUUUGCACAGACACAGCCUUGCUACAUGCUAUGAACCACCUUCAAAGAGGAUACGAAGGUAAAAAUGUACAGUUUUAUAAAGGAAAUAUACAUCAUCACCUUUACACAUCAUGGGAUGCCGAGAAGCACACAGCAAAAUGGAGCACACGGAAAAGAGAGAACGGGUUCGAGUGGAGUGAGG